CAGGCCUAACACAUGCGAGUCGAACGCGAAAGGGACUUCGGUCCUUAGUAGAGUGGCGCACGGGUGAGUAACGCGUGGGAACGUACCCUGGAGUGGGGAAUAACCAUUGGAAACGAUGGUUAAUACCGCAUAAUGUCUUCGGACCAAAGAUUUAUCGCUCUUGGAUCGGCCCGCGUUAGAUUAGUUUGUUGGUGGGGUAAUGGCCUACCAAGACUACGAUCUAUAGCUGGUUUGAGAGGACGACCAGCCACACUGGGACUGAGACACGGCCCAGACUCCUACGGGAGGCAGCAGUGGGGAAUAUUGGACAAUGGGCGCAAGCCUGAUCCAGCCAUGCCGCGUGAGUGAUGAAGGCCUUAGGGUUGUAAAGCUCUUUCAACGGUGAAGAUGAUGACGGUAACCGUAGAAGAAGCCCCGGCUAACUUCGUGCCAGCCGCCGCAGUAA
rnacentral:rRNA from 1 species